rnacentral:lncRNA from 1 species
GGGCAGUAGCGUCGUCGCGGGCAGAUCGGUGUUCCGGUGCAGCUGAGCGGCAAUGCUCAGAGACGCCGAGCAGGGGCUCGGAUGCGUGGCAACGGCGGACGAGGUCGCGAUCAGCAGGGCAAGCUCCUGUGGAUCGGGUAGGGGUGCAGAUCCAGCUCAGGUGACCGUGGAGGCACGGCGGAUCUGGGUGGCGCGGCGAGGCACAGUGGCGACGUCCGGCAGGCAGGAGACGGAGCGCGGACAGACGGCAGCAAGUCGCCGGAGAAGAAGA